UCGUAUCAAAACAGAAAUAGAGGGAGUAACAAGUAAGACUACUUGUAUUUGCGUUCAAAAUACAAAUUGAGGGAGUAACACGUUCCAAAACUAUACACGAAUACAAGUAGGAGUUUGUAUCCUUGAUCCUUCUCCGAAUCCAAAACUACACACGUUCCUUUUAUCCGGGAGGGCCAGAGCUUACUUUUUUUCCUCAAGCUCCAAAUUUCGUCGACAGAAAAGAAAGCAGAAAUCGAAGCAGGCUCGGUUCCAGGCAGGGCAAUCCAAGGUCAGGUUGUUAGACGAGGAACAGGAGAUGAGAGCUGAAACAGAGAAUGGCGAAGCUCGGAGGUGCCUCAGCAGAAGCAGCGGCUAUGAAGCGGGGCAGGUCAAGGUUGAUGUGCCUGCGAGACGCCGCCACCAAAAUCCCGCACCAGGAAACUGUCGCUGCCUUCCCGGGCCGCCACCGCCGACUCAUCUACCCGCGCAACACCUCCCUGUGGUGACCGCUCUCGAUACGCGUCGGCGCCGGAUUAGAUCAUCGUGCAAGAGAUGAGCAAAGGGGUCCAGGGUUGAUCGGCGCUAUACACCGCCGCACGGUUCCUCGUGCGCUGCGCCACCGCGUGCUCUGACGCCAGCCACGGCCGGCGAGCGGCGUGGACUGGGUGCCAUGUCCGUGGAUGCGGCUGCUAGCAUCGGCCCCGAGAUCAUUUUGAUUGAAUGUUCAAUUAUAUU